rnacentral:rRNA from 1 species
CAGUAGCCGCGGUAAUACGAAGGGUGCAAGCGUUAAUCGGAAUUACUGGGCGUAAAGCGCGCGUAGGUGGUUCAUUAAGUUGGAUGUGAAAUCCCCGGGCUCAACCUGGGAACUGCAUCCAAAACUGGCGAGCUAGAGUAUGGUAGAGGGUGGUGGAAUUUCCUGUGUAGCGGUGAAAUGCGUAGAUAUAGGAAGGAACAUCAGUGGCGAAGGCGACCACCUGGACUGAUACUGACACUGAGGUGCGAAAGCGUGGGGAGCAAACAGGAUUAGAUACCCGAGUAGUCCCUGUCUCUUAUAA